rnacentral:rRNA from 1 species
UACGAGGGGGGCGAGCGUUGUUCGGAAUUAUUGGGCGUAAAGGGGUGCGAUAGGCGGUUCCGCGAAGUCCUGUGUGAAAUCUUCGGGACUCGAACUCGAAGUCUGCACGGGAAACUGCGGGGCUUGAGUGUGGGAGAGGUGGAGUGGAAUUCCCGGUGUAGCGGUGAAAAUGCGUAGAUAUCGGGAGGAACACCUGUGGCGAAAGCG